UGAGAUUAGCUUUGCAUAAAAUUGACGUCCGUUGUCGAUUUUGGCCAUACUUACUUCAGUGGUGCCGUCGAAAUGUCGAAGUUAUUCAUAUUGUUAUUCUGCUGUGCUACAUUAGUUAGUGCUCAAAUUACGAGCUGUCCCAGCGAUCAGGUCUACGCAUGCCGCAGUCCUUGUGGACUUACCUGCGCUACUCUUUAUGACCCUUGUAUACAAGUGAUUCAGUGCUCAUGCUACUGUAGAAUUGGCUACACAAGGCUCUUUUCCAACGGACCUUGUAUACCUAUCACUUCUUGCCCGUCCACUACUGGAUGAAGUUAUGCUGAUGAUGGGAUCCACAUACGCUCAUUAAUAUUUUCGUCCAUAAUCUUGAUUUUGUCUAAAGAUUUCACUCGUUUUAACUUCUAUAUGAACCCUGAACGGUAUAGCCAAUAAUUUGACUGUUAACUUGCCAGACAUCUAGUUUAUUUAAAUAACAAUAAUUGUUUUAAAAUAUACUGAAAUUGUUAAUACCGUACAGUUUAAAGUUUGAUUACAAUAUGUGAAGACAAUUAUGUUGAUAAUAUUUCCUGCAUCGUUAGUAAAAUACAAAUUGUACUAAAU